rnacentral:rRNA from 1 species
CAGUAGCCGCGGGAAUACGGAGGGUGCAAGCGUUAAUCGGAAUUACUGGGCGUAAAGCGCACGCAGGCGGUCUGUCAAGUCAGAUGUGAAAUCCCCGGGCUUAACCUGGGAACUGCAUUUGAAACUGGCAGGCUAGAGUCUUGUAGAGGGGGGUAGAAUUCCAGGUGUAGCGGUGAAAUGCGUAGAGAUCUGGAGGAAUACCGGUGGCGAAGGCGGCCCCCUGGACAAAGACUGACGCUCAGGUGCGAAAGCGUGGGGAGCAAACAGGAUUAGAUACCCCGGUAGUCCCUGGCUCUUAUAC